rnacentral:lncRNA from 1 species
UUUCCAUAGGGUACCACUAGUGUUCCGUAUUUUUUUUUCUCGAAGACUACACAAACUAGCGAAAAAACGGGUGGCAGUUCCUGUUACUAGAAAUGCCAGUGUUGCAUUACAACCAAAAAAAAAAUAUAGGGUCAUGCGGCUCAAAUUGACUUAAAAUGCAGUUGAAAAAGAUCGUCUACUUUUUUCGCUUAAUGAAAAAGGCAUAUUUUUAAUGGCUCCGACGUGCAGAAAUUAAAGAUAUUUUCUAUACUUUGUAAAAUAUGAAUAUGAUUUUCGGCAAUUUUUAAACCUAAUUGGAUAAGCUUUCGAUUAAAUGUAAUUCCAAUCCUGUAUCAACCAAUCAGAAGCCGUAUAGGAUUCUAUUCUGAGUACCAUCUUGGGGUAAAAAACUUGCCGGUAAAAUGUAAACAAAUAAUUGCGCUCUUGUAACCUAUACGGUAGUGAAAAAAAUUUCCGAAAAUUAAGCGCCCGCGCCAAAAGUCGCGCUGGCGUCUAUCUAGAUGAUAUCACAUCUUCAAAACAUUAUCUGGUCACUCUCUGAAUUUGGAGAAUCACUUUUUGCCGGCCGAUCAGGCCAAAAAUUGGAACUGAUUUUUUCGCCAAAUACGGUACUGGUCAAAGAC